UAACAAGAUAUUAAUUUGAAA
rnacentral:piRNA from 1 species